CCUUGCCACCUGCAGGGGUACUUGAACUUCCGGAAUCACUUCUUCAGUGGUUAAGUGAGAACUGGAGGGAUGUUUUCUCAGGAUGAUCUAGCAGCCCAGCAAGGAUCCAAGGAUCCAUCUCCAUCAAGGAUCCAAGAAAUUUUCUUUGGGAAAUGAGAUGGUCUAGGUCUCAAAUGAAGAAGGGACUGGGGAAUGGACAAAGAAGCUCUCAGGACAAAGAAGCUCUGAGGGUCUCCCACACCGGGAUGAGCAAUGAAGGUGACAUCUCAGGAAACUGCUCUUGUUGCAGGUUUUCUUUUUUGGUGGGUGUGAGGGAACAGGCAGGACUUCAGGCUUUGCGUUUAUCUGCCAACCCAGUCUCUUCUUGCCCAUCAUCUUAGCGCCCACGCCAGAGAGCUGGGUCAAAUGAGGUAAUGGCUCAUCCAGUUAGUAUCAGAAAUCAGCUCAGCUCUCCCUCUGGGCUGCAGAAAUAGCCCGGACUACUGGCUCAGUUAACUGGUUAACUUGCCCUCGUUAAAGACUAGGGCAAGAAAUCACAUCCGUUUCCUUUACAAGUGAGAUAUUCUUCCUCUGUUUUACAGUUUCAAAAUUUAGAAGUUACAGAGUGUCCAGAGCUCUGGCAAUGGUACAAUUUAGUAGGCUGCACCAUUUCAUAGUCUCACCCUAAAAUAACAGUGGUGAAGUCUUGCGACAAAUGGUCUAACUCCCGCUCAGAUGAUGGCCUUGUUACUGGAGACACGAACAGUUGAGGAUGGCUGGCUGGCUUUUCUCACUCUUCUCUGAGCAUGAAAAGAGACUGCAUAAUUGAAGGGGUCAGACUUGACAGAAAUGUUCUGCAGUGGGGGCAGAGCUCACCUGUUUAGUCAGAGCUGGUGGGUCCUGAGGUUUUGCAGUUUGCAAGUAUAUCCUGUGUAAAACUCAUAGAUCACAUACGGGCUUAGACACGUUUUUCUUGCCUGUGAACGUAUUUUUGUUUCUGAAGAGCCAGUUAAGCAUGGCAGAUGGAACAAAUGUGUUUUGUAGUCACUUCCUCUGAAAAUUGCAUUAAAAUGAUAAUAAAGGCAGAGAAAGGCUUAGACUCACGGGGCAGAAAGAACCGGGGAGGACACGAGUUACAAGCAACCACGUUUUGGAGGCUCUAAGUCAGAUAUCUCAUGGACACUGAUUUUGUGGAUGUGAGCCGGCCAAGGAAGAUAGCCAGACGCAGGCAGAGUUGAGCCACAGAUCUGAGGAAGCCUCAGAAAUUGGAGUUUCCAGCAACUUUCUGGAGGGAUAGGUGGGGACAAAACCAGGAUUGGUUGAAAGUCUUUCUCUGAAGCAGUUCAAACCCUCCCGUCACAACCCCAUCUCUUUUUCCACAGGGAAUCCUGAGCAGGAGGUGAGAGUUCUCCGGUCUCAAGAGGCAAAGUGGAGAUCUUAGACGUGCUCGGGAGUGGGGCGCCAGCUCAGUUGAAGGCGGGGCCACAGUGCAAAUGAGGAAGCCAGCCCAAGUCAACAUACAGACCAUCCUGCAGGGCUCCUCUCCACCGGGUUUCUGUGAGGGUAGUCUCCUUGAUGUGUUAUGGAUCUGCCUGACACAUGUCUUUCGGAUGACUGUGUGGAUCCUGG
ensembl:lncRNA